GCCACGAUCGCAUAACCUGGUAUUGCACAGGCCUGGAAAGUCUGACCUUAAUCGGUAUCUCGGUUCAAAUCCGAGUCGUGGCG
rnacentral:tRNA from 1 species